AGAGUUUGAUCCUGGCUCAGAACGAACGCUGGCGGCGUGGAUAAGACAUGCAAGUCGAACGGAACAUGGUAGCAAUAUUAUGUUCAGUGGCGCACGGGUGCGUAACACGUGAGCAACCUGCCGGAAAGUGGGGGAUAGCUCGCCGAAAGGCGAAUUAAUACCGCAUAUGGCCAAGGAAGACAUCUUCCUGACGCUAAAGUCGCAAGACGCUUUCCGAUGGGCUCGCGGCCUAUCAGCUAGUUGGUGAGGUAACGGCUCACCAAGGCUAUGACGGGUAGCUGGUCUGAGAGGACGACCAGCCACACUGGAACUGAGACACGGUCCAGACACCUACGGGUGGCAGCAGUCGAGAAUUUUUCACAAUGGGGGAAACCCUGAUGGAGCGACGCCGCGUGGAGGAUGAAGGCGUUUUCGUUGUAAACUCCUGUCAAGCGAGAACAAGAAAGUGAUAGUAUCGCUAGAGGAAGAGACGGCUAACUCUGUGCCAGCAGCCGCGGUAAUACAGAGGUCUCAAGCGUUGUUCGGAUUCAUUGGGCGUAAAGGUGCGUAGGUGGCUUGGUAAGUUGAAGGUGAAAUCUCGGAGCUUAACUCCGAAACUGCCUUCAAUACUGCCGGGCUUGAGGACUGUAGAGGAGAAUGGAAUUCACGGUGUAGCAGUGAAAUGCGUAGAUAUCGUGAGGAAGACCAGUGGCGAAGGCGAUUCUCUGGGCAGUUCCUGACACUGACGCACGAAGGCUAGGGGAGCAAACGGGAUUAGAUACCCCGGUAGUCCUAGCAGUAAACGGUGCACGUUUGGUGUGGGAGGAUUCGACCCCUUCCGUGCCGGAGCUAACGCGUUAAACGUGCCGCCUGGGAAGUACGGUCGCAAGAUUAAAACUCAAAGGAAUUGACGG
rnacentral:rRNA from 1 species